rnacentral:tRNA from 1 species
UCCCCCAUGGUGUAAUGGCAGCACAAGGGACUUUGGAUCCUUUAGUUUUGGUUCGAAUCCAGAUGGGGGAA